UGCAGUCACACUAAAAAAGCUACUAAGAGGAAGAACACGAUAAGAGGGAAAUUAUAAGUUUCAUUAGCCAUCUGCAAAGAAUUACCGAACACACCUUAUGAACGCACUGUGUGCGCACAUCUGCAGUUUACAGUGUUAAACAAUCAAAUAAUGGCUGACGACAAAAGCUACGACUCCAGCAACAACAGCGAGACCGAGGAGCGUCGGACCAAGCACAAAAAGGCUAAAAAGCACAAAAAACAUAAAAAAUCCUCGACUGGCAAGACCGAAAAGGACAGGCAUGUCCACAAGAAGCAGAAGAAAGCAAAAAAACGACCCCACAGAACUAGCGAAUCCACAAACGAGUCUGACGCCCCGGAAAAUGCAAAGUUAAAACUAUCACAAAAUUGCGGACUGAGCAGCAAGUUCACAGAAAUCAUGCAGAAGGCCAGCCGGAACGGAGCCGAUUUCCGUGUCGGCAAACCCCUACUUCCGACGGAUCCGAGCAGCCUUGUUGAAGAAAUCACCAAAACUAUUCAGAAUAAGAUGCUGCCCGUCCUGGAGGUGGCCAGUUCUAGCAGCGAAAGCGAUGUGCCCGCCGAUGCAGCCAGUCCUAUUAUUUUGUCUAUUAUUGAAGACGAGCUUAAUUUGGAGGAAUUGAUGCGUCAGAAGGCCCUUCUGCAGGCGCGCCUGGGCGCCUAUAUGUCGGAUCCAGAGGCGGAGGAUAAAGGCGAUCUCCUCUCAGACACACACUCGCAGCAGCUGGUUGUCCACACCAAAUCAGUGCUCAAAGCUGUCACAUCCGUACCGCAGCCCCAACCCAGCAAGUCUGCAGCGCCGUUGGCUACUGCAACCAGUAAACAUGCUAAUAUUAAAAAGUCUACCACGCAUAACUCAAAUGAAUCCGAUGUUAUAUUGUUGGAUGAUUCUAGCGGAGGCCAGCGAACCCCCUCGCCUACGCCCGAGAAACGAAGGCGCCACGCAUCUCCGCUCCCAGCAGCUCCGAGAAGCCGUUGCCGUAGGGAUCGUCGUUCGAGGGAUCGCGACCGUUCACCCCCACGUCGCCGAGCAUCAGAUCAGCAGACGCAGGUCCGACCGCGGAGCCGCAACCGCAACAUGGAGGACCUACGACAGGAAAUAAACCGCGACAAGCAAAGGGAAAGACGAGACCAUAGCCGAGACCGGGAUCGGCGAGGAUUGGAUAGGCCGCCGCCACCCACUGAUAUGAGACCAGGUCGUGCACGGGAGCGAGACGUUCGGCCGAGUCGUAUGCAGCGGUCGCACAGCCGCAGUAAGUUUGAGUCAGACAGGCGACGAGAGCGGGAGCGACAAAAGGACCGGGAUCGUGGUGGCGGGCGCGGAGGAGCCCGCAGCGGGACAGACAACGGGGAUAGAGAUCGGUACAAGGGUUCGCUGAGCGAGGGGCAAAAUAAGCUCGACAAGGAGAGCAGUGAUGAGGAGGUGAACGUAAACAUUGACAUUUUGGAGGAAGACGAUGACGAAGAACGUAUCAUUGAGUUACGUAGAAAGAAGCGCGAGGAGCUACUCAAGAAGCUGGGCACUGGGCAAGAAUCGCCAGCUCCACAUAACUCGGUCUCGUACGAGUCUCGAAGUACUUCACAAGGGUCAUCCCAACGCGAAAGACCUUUAAGAACGCCGUCGCCCACGUUGCCUUGCCCGGAUCCCCUUAUCUCGGAAAUGCCAAAGGAACACGAAGAUAUGGAUAACUCGACUAGCCAAAAGAAUUGCUCCGCAAAGGAAAAACGAAACGAGUGGGAUAUGUUCGCCGACCAAGACGUGGAUUCCAAUUUCGAUUCACCCAACACAAUCGUCCAAAAUAAGCAUCAACACGAAAAUCCCGCUCUCACAGACAACUGGGACGACGCUGAAGGUUAUUACCGAGUUCGUAUCGGUGAAGUUUUGGACAAUCGAUACCUAGUGAAUGGAUACACAGGCCAGGGUGUCUUCAGCAACGUAGUGCGUGGCAGAGACCAAGCUCGUGGGCAAGCUAAUGUAGCCAUUAAGAUCAUACGAAACAACGAAAUAAUGCACAAAACUGGCUUGCGGGAACUAGAAAUAUUAAAAAAGCUGAACGACGCCGAUCCAGAGGAUCGUUUCCACUGCCUGCGACUGUAUCGUCACUUCUUUCACAAGCAGCAUCUUUGUAUGGUGUUUGAGCCAUUAGCAAUGAAUUUGCGGGAAGUACUUAAAAAGUAUGGCAAGAAUGUGGGACUCCACAUCAAAGCAGUGCGUAGCUACACGCAGCAGCUAUUCUUAGCACUCAAAUUGUUAAAAAAGACGGGCAUUUUGCAUGCUGACAUUAAGCCGGAUAACAUUUUGGUAAACGAAAAUAAUCUGAUACUUAAAUUGUGUGAUUUUGGUUCUGCCUCGGCAAUCAGCGACAACGAAAUAACACCGUACUUGGUAUCGCGGUUCUACCGCUCACCAGAGAUCAUUUUGGGUAUUCCCUAUGACUACGGAAUCGACACCUGGUCUGCUGGCUGCACAAUUUAUGAGUUAUACACAGGAAAGAUUCUGUUUAGCGGGAAGAGUAACAAUCAGAUGCUAAAGUUUUUCAUGGACGUAAAAGGAAAGAUACCAAACCGAAUUAUCAGAAAAGGCCAAUUUAGAGAACAGCAUUUUGACCAAAGCUGCAACUUUCUCUACCAUGAAAUAGAUAAGCUCACUGAGAGGGAAAAAAUUGUUGUAAUGCCUGUAGUCAAACCUUCGCGUAGCCUGCAGCAGGAACUAAUUGCUGACCAAAACUUGCCAGACGAUCAACAUCGCAAGGUCACCCAGCUCAAGGAUCUUCUAGAGAACAUGUUUGCCUUGGAUCCGGCUAAACGGAUCUCCCUUAACCAGGCACUAGUUCAUCCAUUCAUACAGGAGAAGAUGUAAAUCGACCGACGAAGGCAAUGAAACUGUGCCGCUUGUUACGGACGAGCCCUCCUUGGCCUUGUGGCUGGCUGAACUGUUUGGGCUGUCAACAAAUUUGUUCUACGCCUUGCAGUUUCAACUCGUGAGUAUAUUGAUUAGAACAUUCAUAGAGCUAAUUGUUCUGUCCAAGUAAGUAUUCAGUACCUUUUGAAAUUAUACUUCAUGUGGACGCGCUGAUACAUAACAGUCCGCUAGUUCAAGUCAUCAGUGGAUACUGGCAGCUCCAGAGCUGUGUGCAGAAUUUCGCUCGAGCACAGAUAGGGGGCUGGGGGCUGAGCUUCACUUUUAAGUAAGCACUUCACUUUUUUGGGUUUCCAGUUGUUGUCAGCCAAGGGGUCCCGCAGUAGCCCGAAGGCACAUUCAAAGAUUCCGACGCAGCUAUCACGGGAGUGCAGAGUGCCGCAGCAGAUCACUAAGAACUGCCCGUACGAGUCCAUUCGACCCUGAAUUCCGGCGUGCGUCAGGUUCGGAUUAAAGUAAAAGUCAAACUGCUGCUUAGCGCUCGUUAGUGCCGAUAACACCUCGGCAGCCGUCGUACACUCCAGCUCAUUGAUUCCAUCACUGGCUCUGAUCGUGAGAUGUAGGGUCGCAUCUGCCCACAAAUCCACCAGACUGAGGGCGUCUGCGUUGAAGCGUUCGAAGAACCACUCGCCGAACUUGCGCGCAAUCUUGUGAAUGGGAUAAUCCUCUUCGCUCUGAUUAUGAAGUGAGCUGGAUGUCUGGUCUCCGGAAAGCUCUAUGCUUGAUUGAUGCUCCUGCUUCCAAUACUGUAUAACCUUGGCUAUGAGGUCUGCCUUGCUAAAGUCUGUGGCUGCGUCAGCGCGUCGAUUGCUCAAAUACGUAAAGAGGAGUUCCUUCGUUAUAGCGCGCUUGGAAAGCAGUACGUAAAUGUCUGGAAUGUGUGUAGUGAUCAGACGAAGGGCCUCUGCAAGUUAAAUACAUAAUAAUUAUCGGUUGUGCAAAUUCCAAAAUUAAAUCCUACCCUCCGGGUCUUCGGUUUUGCGCACAUUUUUGGUGGCGCAUUUGGCCAAUUGUA